AAAUGCUGCUAAUGAGCUUCAUUGACAACUGGUAUUAUUUGCAUCUAUCACCUGGAGAUUAAAAAACAAAAAAAGUGAAAUAAGCUGCAUGCCCUGUAAAGGGUCAAAGUUUCUGUGCUAAUGCUACGGCCUGCAGGGUUCUUUCCUGCUGUCCCUUGUGCCCCUGUUGCCUGUUCACCUGCUCCAUACAGAGGGCUUUCCUGGGGAGCUAUGCUGGGGCCAUGGCUGCUCCCUGGAAGGAGGAGAGAGAGGUCAGAGGAGGUAGCACAGAAGGGAGAGGAAGAGUGUGGACUGGGAGAAGGGAGCAGGAGAUAAACAAGCUCCUCAAGGCAGGGGCUGAUGCUGAUGCGGUGAGCUGCAGUGGCUGACAAGACCUGUCCCAUGUUAAGGGUAGAUCAGCUUUCCUUUGACUUGAGAGGGUGUUGGUGUGUGUGUUAGGUAAGUCCAGAAAACAGUCACUGCUGUACUGGGUCUGGUCACGGAUAGUUGUGGUAUCCUCUGCUGCCCUGUGAUUUGCAAUUUCUGUUUUAUUUUUUACAUGAAAUCAUGCUCUUGCUGUCUUCAGGGAAUUUCACUUAAGUAUGCUUGCAGCAAAUUUUUCUUCCUUUAAAUCAUAACCACAAACACCUUUGACCAUAGUUUUUCUGCUGCUGGUGUCUCUGUAUUACUUACUUUGACUAGGUCCUUUUUUAAGAAGUUAAUAAGCCUGGUACUGCAAGUCCACUGACUCUCAGCAGAAUAUUUCUUUCAUUCCUGAGGUCCCUUUCAUACCCAGUUUUCAUAUUAGCACUAUUCAUUAGCAUCCAUGCAGCUUUUCUCGUUAGUAUUACUGUGCAAUGCACUUUCUUUUGUAGUACCUGAAGCUUGUAAGACAAGCUUGCCUCCCAGUGGGGGAGAAGGUAUCUGUAAUCUGUGUUUCUUGUCUCAAGUCUCUUGAAAGGACUAGAAAUCCCAAAUGCAGUAACUUGUGGGUUUUCUGUCUUAGAGAAUUAGGUUGUCUUUGCAUUACUGAGCAGGCAAACAUUGAGCAGUGCUUGAUCAAUAAGAGGUAUUGCCAGAGGUCUGGUAUAGUCUACCACAGCUGAUGGUAAGUGUUGCUAUAGGCUAUGGAACUACGAAUAUAAAAUGUCAAAUGACAGUAAUAAUUCAUGCAUUCUGGGACAUAUAAAACCAACAGCAUGUCAAUAGCUGUGGCAUGCUCUGCAGAAAAUAUGCAGGAUCUAGAUGUUGCAGGAGUCUGUUUUAUUUUAAGCCACACUUUUCUUGGUGAAAUAUAGACUUUGCCUGUUUGUUGAAGGCAUUUAUUUUCGGUUUCACGUUGCUACUUCUCUAUUAAGAUUCUAAGAGCCAUGCAGCUCAAAAGGGGCCCUGAGAUUCAAAAAGCAAAAUAUAUGUAUUUAUUGAAGAAAAACAUAUAAAAUAUUUAUAAAACAGAGGGUGCAAUACUAUUUGAGAUUCAUGGACCAUUUUAGCAUUCAUAAAAGCAAAUACGGUUCCCAUGUUGGUUUCACCUGGAAUCAGACUUUACUGGAGGGGUUACUCAGGAGGGAUCUGCCUCAGAAUGAAACUUUGCAUUUUACAUGGAAAGCAGAAUAAUUUAUGAAAUAAGUAAGAACUUCUCCAAUAUUCAUCUUCUUUAAAAAAUACUUCACGAUAACUAAUAUUGCUUGUCUCUUAUAAAAGAUUCAGAAUAGGGUGAAUUACUGCAUCUGGGAGGGUACAGCAGGCAUAACAAGACAGACUGUGUCAAUCUGAUAUGUGUUCUCCCUGUGCCAUGGCUGCUUGGGAACCUAGAAGUGAUGGGUGCUUACUGGCUAAGGCUCCCACAAAAAUCCUUCAGAGAAAAUCCUAAUGAGAAAAGAGAAAAAAUACAUUCAAGCAGCCCCAUUCUUAUGCUUUCAGCUGUGUGCUCCCAUGGACCUCAGUUUUGGGUUGCCAGGCCUCAAUUUCUCUAAAGCUACCUGAAAGUAGAAGGGCAAGACAGAGAAGUUGCAUGUCAGUCAUGAUUAUAUGAAUAUAGGCCCUCAUGUGCAGAUAAUUCUUCUAAAAGAAUGUAAAAUAUUAACUAAACAAAGAGGAGAAAAGGAAAAGCAUCACAAAGAAACCCACUACACAUUAUUGAAAUCUCCCCCCGUGACAGGCUGAGGAUUCAAAUGCAUACAAAUCAUAUGCUCUUCCAUGUGACAGCAAUCCCUCUACUUCAGAGUUGUGCAGUCCUGGCUCUCAGUUGUCUACUUUGAUGUUUUUUUAGUUAAAUAUUCAACUAAAAUGUCUUAAAUAGAAUUUCCAUUAUUUGAAGACCAUAAAGUGGUUUUGGUGCAGUGGACUGCACCUACUUACACAGGCACUAGUAGAUAUUUUGGCACAUAUUGCUGAAGAUAGCAUGAGGCAGAGGUGAUGAUGAUGAAAAUAAAUGAAAAAAAAUCAACCAACCAACCAAACCACAGUGAAAAGAAAACCCACAAAUUUAAGCCUGCUAGCUGUCUGAGACCUAAAAAAAGGGAUUUCUUUGUUCUUAUGAGAACAUCUUGGCUCGUUCUGCUCCUUUGGCUUGGUUUGGGGAGGAUGUAUUUUACAGUCCUCCCAUGAUACUUGGCAAAUGUAAGGCUGUCACGUUGGAUCCUGCUUCUCUUUGUAUUAAAAGAAUGUCUAUGGUGUUUAUGUUAUGGGGGGGAAAAGUGCUAUUUCUACGUAUUAUAUUUUCAUUGUCUCUUUUCUUAUGACUGUACUGUUUGCCAGCAGCCAAGGGGCCACUUUGAUGCUUGCUUUGAUGCCAUAGUUUAUUGCCAUAGUUGAGCCUAUGGUUUUCCUUUCUAAUCAGAGCUGGCGUACUGGGUGAAAAAAAAUAAAAAAAAAGCUUUUCUAUAAUUAUGGUUAUCUCAUAGAGUCUGCAUUUGUUAUAGCUGCUGGGGUGCUGGAAAUCAGUGUUUGUAAAUACUGAUAUAUUCUGAUUUGUUUUCAAUCUCAGAGGUGUUUUUUGUCUGUUUCUGUUUCUCACCCCUGGCCACUCAUGCAAGCAGGCUUGCCGACCUGCAUGCUGAGCAGCUAUUGCCUCAGGAAGAUACCAGCUUGCAUGUGUUACCUGGGUUAUUUGCAUGGUACAACUUUCAUCUUGUUCCCUCUUCUCACUCUAAGGGAUUAGCAUCCAAAGAAAACAAAAUUAAUUUUGUAUCAAUUCAUCCAGGAAAGUGAGUAGCCAAAAUAACCAGAACAUUGUUGCUGACAGCAGGGACAGAGAGCAGCCCUCUGGUGUCGGAGUGUGCUGCGUGCUGCCCACCUCUGCCGCACUGCUCUCAGAGGUGCGUGGUUUCACCACGGGUUCUGCUGUAAUGAGACUCUCCUGUGCUCACAGGAAGACUCACUUGCUGGCUCCUUCUUUACCCCAUGCUCCAUGUGGUAGUGCCAGUUGGGACUCGUAUAAUACUCACUUGGAUGUAUCUAUUGCUUUUCUCCAUAUGUCUUGUGACCAUCUGUGGACUGAUGAGGAACCACUCUGUUCCCAUUUUACUGAUGGAAAAGGAGAGACUUUAGGAGGCUGAGUGAUGUGUACAGGAUGAUACAGCAAAUCAAUGGGAGAAAAAAGGAUCAGGCCAUUCCACAUAGGAGUGCCAUUAACUGCCCCAUGGGCUUCCUGGGGAAGGCAUGCAGGUCCCCAAAGGGGCCGCUUCCAUUGCAGGAUUGUUCCUCCAUUAUUUCUGUCAGAUUAUUGCUAUGCACAGUGAGAAAUGCAGAAUGUAUUAUUCAUCUCUCCUACUCCUAAAAUCAAUACCUAUCAAAAUACAAAUACAAUUUAAAUCAAAGGGCACUUGUUGAGUGCAGAUCCUACUAAUCAGGUAUGAUUUUCCAACAAUUUCUUAAAUUAUUUAUCCGAGGGAUGGGUAGCAGGCACUUUAUAUGUCCCAGAGUGAAUAUUAUAAACCUCUUGUCAUGAUACAGCAAAUGUGAAAUGUAGUGCAAUGUGAUUUGUAACCUUGAUGAACUAAUGUAAUAUCAAUAGACAUCAAUAGUGCAAAAAAAAAAAUCUGUCUCAUCAUAACAUCUAACAAGAUAUGUCAAAAGUCAAUAUAAUCUUGUGAAAUGGACACAUAUCAGUGAAGGUUACAAACUUUGUUGGUAGAAAUCAAUUAAAAAUGUAACACCCACCUGCUAUGAAAAUUACUAAACACCAUCAUCUAAAAGAAGGUUUAUAUCAUGCAUGGACAUCCACCAUAAAAGCAGCUCCCUUCAGGCUGGCUGUAACUCUGUAAGCAAUUCCACUAUAAUAUAUAGCCUUUUUUUUUUUUUUUUUCUUAUGCUGGUAUUGCUUAAUUUAGCCCCAUAAUCAACAUGCAAACAAUAUUUAAUUACAUUUUUAAAAUCUGCACAGAAAAGAGCCAAUGGUUAUGAACAUUUUUGUGUACAAAUUCGGAAGCAGCUCUCCUGUAAAAGGAAAGGUUUCCAACUGUCAGUCAAUAAUGGAGAUCGAUGUUCUUCAAUUUUUAAUCUUAAGGAUUUUUCUUAUGCCGCUUCUUUGGAUGUUAAUUUUCAUACUUAUACUCCCAUCCAUACAGCAGAUCUUAAGAUUCCAUCCCACCAGCACACAUCAAGUGAAAAUUCUUGGUCCUAUCAAAUAGAUGUGAUAUCUUGUCACUAAAUCCUUCCAAAUCAGUGAUUCAGAAGAAAAGUAUGAAAUACAAGGUAUGGUUUCUCCCCAGUUUUUAAAAGACAGUGAUAAAAUUUUUACUUUUUAAGCGUUUUGCUUUUCCUCUUGUCAUCUAGUGGUAAUUUAAAGGCAAGUGUAACUCUUAGUCCAAAAUGUAAUAGUUGGACGUGGAGAGAGGUGCUGUGACUUGAAGGACAGCGAUAUGUGAGGGGCUGAAGUAAAACCAUCAGAGUAAUUCAGAGCUUAAACUUUUAACUUGGUGCUUUCCUCUGUAGCCCUAAUGGUGAUCAGGCUCCCAAAAAAGCCAUCAGGAGCCUGAGCAAAAAGCUGUAGCGGUCCAAAGUGCCUGUGUGCUUCAGCUGCUGCAGGCAGCCUGUGAUCAUACUGCACCGUCGGCAGUACGCGAGUGCAAUUGUGCAACCAGGGAUGCAAGGCAGAGCUGUAAUUCCGAAUUUCAUGGCAUUUUACAGCACGAGUCAGAAUUUUAAUGGUAUUUCAACCUUCCUUAUUAGUUGCACAAUAAGCGUUUUUCAGCCAGUGUUCUGCAAAUUCCUUCCUGGUGAUCUGCAAAAGACACGGUUUGAAAGUCAGAGCGUUGGAGGUUGAAUGCUGGGUGUGUGGAAAUAGAUCAGUAUGCCUGAGCUGAUGGGAGGAAUAAGGGAUUCUGAAGAAGCCCUGAGUUAGGAUAACAUAAGGGUAGUAGCAAAAAGUAUAAAAAAGCAUGCCAUGAAUACCUUGGAUAUACAGGAUAAAUUCACCUUCAGUUAUUCAGCUGUCCUGCUUGUAUUUUUGUUGUUUUUAAUUAACGAAAGUUUGUCUGGUAGAGUUCAAUUCCAGAGUGUUUGAGUUAGAAGACAGCUGCAUCAAGUGAAAAUAGACAAUACUACAUUUAAUGCUUUUCUUUCCUCAUUCCAUUUAAAUGUGAAUGAGUUAUCUGGAAGGAGUAUGAAACAUGCAGAUACUGUUUAGUGGUAUAUUCUUCUUAUCUUCAUUAUUUUCUUCUUCCUAAUGUCUUUUAUAGAUGCUUAAAAAGCACAUGAUUGUAUAUGUGAUUGUAUAUUAGUGACUGCAAAGGUUACCUAAAUUAACACCACGGACUAAUUUUAUUUUAAAUAGGGUAAGACCACAUCUGUUUCAAACAGCUUUGUAAUAUGCCUUUUGUGAGUUCAAAUCAGAUACAAUAAUGGCCACUUAAGCGAACUCCUACACACAUAACUACUUAUUUGCAAUAGUGCUAAAAAAUGCAUUAUAAAAUCACACUAGCAUUUUGGUGCACUGAAAUACAUUCCUCCUCUAUUCCGCUUAAAAAUUCAUCCCUGUGUUAUUGUUUUAUGGAUACUAAAGAAAAGCAUGUGUUCUUCCCCAUGGAGGAUGUGUUAUUUACUGUAUAACUGUACUGGCUAGAUAUUUUGUAUUUUGCUUGCAUCCCCCUUCGAAAGAGGCAUGACAUUUUUUCGUACCUAUAACUAACACUGUUCUUCAGCCAUGAAUUGUUAUAAUUAUAUAACAUUAUGAAUACCAUUGAGGUAAUAAAAGCAAAACAAGCAAUCUAGAUAAUAUAUUGUAUUCACAGGGUACAAGUGCAUGGUUUUGCUGUAAAUCACAUUGAUUUAGGAAGAAUAUAGUUUGGAAAUUAUCUUGAAAGACACCAGCGGAGGGGCUAUACUUUAUAUAUGAGCCAACAUCAAAUAGCUCACUAAAUGGGCAAUAUGCCUUUUUCCACAGAUGUCCUUUCCAAAGAUAAAGGUAUGUAUAGCACGCAGAUAUCUGCAGUGGGCACACUGAAAGUAAACAAAUAGCAAUGUAUUUAUUUGACAAUUUUCUAAUGUAAAUGUUUUUGUCUUAAACUGAAGAAGAAUUAAAAGAAAACCUUUGCAGAAUAGCUUCUCCAUCAUGGAGCUAGGGUGGCAGAGGACUGCAGCAAUGCUGCCUGGCCUCUGUUGAGGUGAAAUCUGUUCUACACCUGUCCUGUGAAACUGGAAAAUGCAAUUAUAUUUAUUUUUCAAAGAGGGAGAUAAGGCACGGACAGAAACCACAAGUCUUCUCUGCAUACAUAAGAGAACUCUGUAAAAGCUGAGGGGUUGAAGAAAGCUGUGUGUAGGCCUUGGCUAAUGCCCUAAACCAUUAAACCAUCCUCACAAAAUCUGUUUUUCCAACUCUAUUGCCACUGAAAUCUGAAAGCAAACAUUAGCCGCCAAGAACAUCAUGCUAAUUAAUUGCCUCAGGAGGACACAAUUCCCAAGAUCUAAUGAAAGAUGGAAUCCAGCUCCCAUAUGUCUCAUUUGAUAGCCCAAGAAAACAUGCCCACAUUUUUCACAGAAACAGUGACAAAUGUCCAACUACGUGUCUCUCAGCUGAGUAUAACUAAUCACCAGGGCCAGAGAUGGAAAUGGCUGCUCAUCAGCACCCAGCCUGAAACACCAGCCCCAGGAUCUGUCACUGAUGAACCGUUUUGAUUCAGUGUUGAAGGCUCUCAGGAGCUGUACAGCCUAAGUUUUGUGGACUAGCCCAUCUUCCUUCCUCACCAUGCCAAAUGACCCAUGGAAGGCUGUAGAUCUUCAGUCUAUGGGGACAAUCUAACAACAGCAACUUCUGGGGGUGCUUCUACAAGGUAGGGCCACAUCUAACUCUGUCAAACCAUCCCAUCAGUGCAGGUGUGCUGCUCACAUGAAAAGCUCGUGACUCCCACUGCAGAAACCUACUUGUCUGCUUCUUGGGAAACCUCCUGCCUGCAAGGCUACCCCCUGAGACAACUGGACCUGCCAUCAGCCAGGCCGAGAAAUCACUUGCUGAAUAGUUUUGGCUGAGGUUUUUUGACAAAAUCUUCACAGAUAGAGCCAAGAGGACAGGCAAGAAAUAUUUGUAUUCUUCAUGCCACAACUUGUUUUUUUCAUUAUUUCUUCUUGUCUCCUUUUUACACUCCAGGCAUUUUUUCUUUCUACAUAGGCUAAUAGGAAGAAAUGCUGUGCCCUACUUCAGUCAUUUUAUUUAAGUAAAUUUUUUUUAGUUCUAAUUAUGAGCAUUCAUAUAGCCUGUGACAUUUACUGAUAUAUGUUACUUUUCUGAACCACUACAAAAGUAUCUGGCCUAUUCUCUGCUAAUGCUUAGAUGACAUUUUAGGAACAGGAACCACCAUCCUGCAAGGGGCUGGGCAUGUGCACAGGACAGGAGCUGUCAGUGAAGUGUAUCAAAUCUGGUUUUGAUCUGUUCGUGUAAUUUUCCAGGUGAGCCUUGGACUCUGCCUACGGUCUGUGCUCCCAGAUGUCAGCCCAUGAUGGCAGAUGGAGGGACACCCGGAGCUCCGCAUCCCCCAGGCACAGCACUGGGCAUUUGCUGCUCCCGGAGCUGCCGCACGCCACGGGACCCUCAGCUGCCGGAUGCCUGACCCAGCUCGACUGCAGGUGGAGAUGUGCUGGGGCUGGCUUUGCCCUGCUUGCUGCUGCCUGCACGCCUUAUUCUUCUGAGUUAUGCCCCAGCCCACUCCUGUCCCGUUGUGCCGCCGCCUCUGGGCUGUACUGAGUUUUCAAUUAUCACAAUAUACAGUGGAGAUGCCAUGUAAAACAGCCAGCGUUUCUGGAGCACACUGAACUCAGUAGAAACACAGUUAAAUAAAAGUAAUGCUAUAAUACCAGGAGGCUGAUUGGAACCACAAGAUACCAGUGUCAUAUCCUGUGGCUUUUAUGUCGCUAGACGUAGAUUUUAGCCAUUAGAGUCUAGCUAUCCAACAGAUAACAACCAGAGGAAAUGGGUCUGGGUAUCUUCAAUUGUGAAUAACUGAUACACAGUUGCCAAUAAAUGGAGGACUUGGUAAACUGCCAGACAAAAAAACCCAUUUGACAUACCUACAAAUAUAAUCAGGCAUUUAAUAUGGGGUAGCACAUCUAACUAUAUGUAACUUAAAUAAACUGCCUGAUUACACACAAUACAUUUGAAGUGGUACAUCAAGAGAGCUCUGACUUCAGACAAGCAAUGUGUGGUUGCACUGUCAACUCCAAAUUUAGGCAAGGAGAUAAAUAGCAAGCGUGGGUCUCAACUUAUGUAUUUGUACCAGCAGCAACAACCUCCCAGGUGAUAUCAUAAUAUCUAUGUGGGGAUAAAAUGCUAGGACAAAAGAGGAAGAAAUAAGAAAAAAAUACAGUAAUGUCAAGUUUGCCUGUUAACUUUUAGAAGAGCUCAACAUCUGGAAUUUUAGAAUGUGUUGUGCAGACAAAUGUAAAGAGAGAAACACAUUAAGUGUGUUUUUCUCCAAAGCAAAAUGAAAUAAGCAUACAGAGCAAAUUAUUAUAUUUAGUACUCUCAGGGCAAAUUCUAGUUGAGAAUUCUGAAGUAAUUUCAAAAUAUUAAUGAAUUAGCCUCACAGCUAGCUUUCAGGUAGAUAAUAAUGAUAAUUAUUACUACAAAUAAAUUUUAUUUAUUAUCAUUCUCGCUCCAAGAAAUGAACAUUGAUGCAUAGAGAAUUUAUAUCUUUAUCCAAAAUCUGUGUUUUACUACUGUAACAAUCCUUCUCCAGAACUACUGUAAAUUAAGAUUAUCCUUUUCCAAAUACUGUGUGUGAUACUGUUCAGUUUAUAAGCUCUAAAAACCAGCCAACUGAGCUUCCUUAUGAAACACUGCCAGUAAACAUCUCCAUUUGCAUUUGAAUUCUCAAGCAGCAACAAUCUUGCUUUA